CCAAUGAUUAUUCAAUGGCUGCGGUAAUUUGACCGUACAAAGGUAGCAUAAUCAUUAGUUUUUUAAUUGAAAGCUGGUAUGAAUGGUUGGACGAGAAAGGGACUGUCUCAGUUUAAUUUACUUAUAAUUUUAUUUUUAAGUUAAAAAGCUUAAAUGUUAUUAAAAGACGAGAAGACCCUAUAGAGUUUUAUAUAUUAAUUAAAUUUUAGAUUAAUUGAAUAGUUUAUGUUAUAAUUUAAUUGUGUAUUUUGUUGGGGUGAUGAAAAAAUUUGAAUAACUUUUUUUAUUUUAGUACAUUGAUUUAUGAUUAAAUGAUCCAAUAUUUUUGAUUAUAAGAUUAAAUUACCUUAGGGAUAACAGCGUAAUUUUUUUUGAGAGUUCAAAUCGAUAGAAAAGAUUGCGACCUCGAUGUUGGAUUAAAAUUUACUUUAGGUGCAGCAGCUUAAUAGGGUAGGUCUGUUCGACCUUUAAAAUUUUACAUGAUCUGAGUUUAAACCGGUGUGAGCCAGGUUGGUUUCUAUCUUUAAUUUUUUAAUAUAUCUUAGUACGAAAGGACUUGAUAUAUGUAUAAUUUAUUUGUUUUAGAAUAUUAGUA
rnacentral:rRNA from 1 species